rnacentral:pre_miRNA from 1 species
AAAGUACUCCCCCCGUCCCAAAAUUCUUGUCUUAGAUUUGUCUAGAUACGGAUGUAUCAAGUCACAUUUUAGUAUUAGAUACAUCCGUAUCUAGACAAAUCUAAGACAAGAAAUUUGGGACAGAGGGAGUAGUUG